UACGUAGGGGGCUAGCGUUGUCCGGAAUCAUUGGGCGUAAAGCGCGUGUAGGCGGUCCGGUAAGUCCGCUGUGAAAGUCGGGGGCUCAACCCUCGGAUGCCGGUGGAGUACUGUCGGGCUUGAGUACGGAAGAGGCGAGUGGAAUUCCUGGUGUAGCGGUGAAAUGCGCAGAGUAUCAGGAGGAACACCAACGGCGAAGGCAGCUCGCUGGGACGGUACUGACGCUGAGGCGCGAAAGCGUGGGGAGCAAACAGG
rnacentral:rRNA from 1 species